UAUAAUUCUCAUUCCCAUUGUAGUUUCCCUGUCACCUGGUUUUUUGUUGUAUAUUCCAGCAGUUUGUUUUGGUAUAUUCAUAUCAGAGGUAUAUCGUUGUAAUAAUUGUCUGCACCGUGUAGUUUACCAUAUUCUGCUUCUUGAUGUUUUUCUGCUUAAUAACAGUCAUAAUGUUUCAGGAUAUGUUUGUUGGUGAGAUCCUUGGAGCAGUAGUAGCUGGAGAUCUCUCUGCACUAAAAUCAACCUUUGAAGUCAAGAAGUUGAAAGUCAGUGCUACAGGAGCUGAAUCUGAAGAUGGUGAAAUAAUUAUGGACAAGGAGUAUGGAAAAGCAGUAAAAGUAUUGGAAAAUCUGGAUCCAUCAGCUUAUUACAAUCUUUUUGCAAAACGACUUGGGGAUGAAAAGCAGUCCGCUGUAAUUGGAAGCUUCAAUGAGCAGAGAAGAAUUUGGAGUGUACCAUCUGUCUAAACCUUGGUCGGCAACUUAAUAUAAAUGGGACUUAUCGGUGACAUAAAUCGGAUUCAUGAAACCUUAGCACUAUUUAGUUUGUUUAGAGAGAGGUCAAGAUUUGUGGAGACGUUAAGUAUUAGGAUCCAGAGGAGAUAUUUCCAUAUAAUGUGUUUGGAUAGUGAAUUUAGAAAAACAAAAACUUCCUAGCAUCUUUCAACAACUUCCACUCAUCCUUCUUCAGUUUGAGAUACGGCUCCACUGGAAUGGCCUUUUCUGUAAACUCUUUUUUCUUGAAUAAACCACUCCUAAUUGUACAGUGAGUAUAAUUGCUAGAAAAUGAAAAUGGAUAACUGGAAAUGCCCCCAAAAGAAGAGGAGGCCACUGCUAAAGUUACAGGCCUGGUUGUAUCUAUGACCAUCCAGCUAAAACAAGGGAAUGCUCAAGCCCAGUGGUUUGCAGCCACAAACGAUUCCAUUCUAUUUGAAGCGCUUAUGAGAUUCUCAGAAGAAGGAAAACAGAGUUCCUUGGUUUAAAUUGGGCGGUGAAAGAGUAAUAUACCAUGCUAUAACUGCAUCUAAUCAUCAUCAGUACUAGUAUGCACCAGCAGGACAGUGUUCCAAACACAUUCAGAAUACUGACUGAAGUUAUAGAAAUCUUCCAAGAGCUGUGCAUCCCUGGGUGCAUAUGAUUUGUUAUUCCUACAUUGUAUAAAUAUAUACAGUUGCUAUGGUGGUAAUAAAUCAAGCAAUAUUGUUUGGCAUUUUCAUAUUUGAUGUAAACUAAGAGUACACCAAACUGUAUAGAGAACCAUAUUCCCUAUCAGUUCUCACAGUAAGCAACAGACCGUAAAACUAAACAAUAUAGGGAACCAAGUUCUCUAUCUGUUCCCACGGUAAAUCGGCAGUAAAUAAAGAACACGCGAUAUUUACGUGGAAAACUUCUUUGCUCAAGGGAUUAAAAACUACGGCCUACCCUAGUAGGAUUUCAACUCCAUUAAACCAAACAAACUUCAGAUUACAAUCUAUUGCAAUCUAGGAAUUAAACUUUUAAUCACUCACCCCCUACAAUAACUAUAUAGUAAGCCCUUUGCAAUAACUCUAUUACAAAGCAACAAACCUUGACUAACUCUAGUCAAGAAACUAAACCAAACAGUGGUUUAAAUUUGUCCUACAAAAACACUUCUUGAAAGUAGUGUAAGAUUACAAAUAAAGAACAAAAUAACAAUGUAACGACCCGGCGGGUCGUUUCGAGAGUUGUAGCCCCGUUCCCCCAUUUUCUGCCCUUUUUGUGCUCUACAGCUAUUAUAUGACUUAACGGGUUGGUUGGUUCGGUUCGGAAAGAUUUCAAAGCGAAUUGAGACACUUAGUCUCUUAAUUGAAAGUUUAAGUUGGAAAAGUUGACCGGAUGUUGACUUAUGUGUAAACGAUCUCGGAUUUAAAUUUUGAUGGUUCUAUUAGCUCCGUUAGGUGAUUUCGGGCUCAGGAGCAUGUCCGGAUUGUGAUUUGGAGGUCCGUAGUAGAAUUAUGCUUGAAAUUACGGAAGUUGAAUUUUGGAAAGUUUGACUGAGAGUGGACUUUUUGAUAUCAGGGUCAGAUUGGAUUUCCAGAAGUUGGAGUACGUUCGUGGUAUCAUUUAUGACUUGUGUGCAAAAUUUGAGGUCAAUCGGACGUGCUUUGAUGGGUUUCGACGUCGUUUAUUGAAUUUGGAAAUUUCAAAGUUCAUUAGGCUUGAAUCCGUGUGUAAUUCGUAUUUUUGAUGUUGUUUGAGGUGAUUUGAAGAUUCGGCUAAGUUCGUAUGAUGUUUUAAGACAUGAUGGUAUAUUUGGUCGAGGUCCCGGGGGCCUCGGGUUGAUUUUGGGUGAUUAACGGAUCAAGUUUUGAAGUUGUAAGCUUGCUGAACAUUUUCCAAUGCUGGUGUAAUCGCCUAUGUGGAGUGGGAACAGCAGGUGCGAGCUCGCAGAAGAGGGAAGUAAGCCGCAAAAGCGGCCAAGGAAGUGAGGCAGCAGAAGGUUGCAGGUACGAUUGUUUUCCCGCCCCUGUGUGACCGCAGAUGCGACAGAAGGACCGCAGAAGAGGAUUUGGCCUUGUAGCUUGACUAUGCAGAAACGAAGAUUUGUCUCGCAGAAGCGAGUCCGCAGGAGCGGAAAUUUGGACGCAGGAGCAGAAUUAGCCGCAGAAGCGGGCUCUGAGGCGCACCUGCGAGACCGCAGAAGCGGCUAAGUUGCCACAUGUGCGGAAAGCCUGGGCAGAAAUUAUAAAUACGAGGGUGAGAUUUUUCACCAUCUCUAUCAUUUUGAGCUCGGAUUUUGGAGGUUUUGAGCGAAUUUUCAAGAGGGAUUCUUGAGGUAAGCUCUUUGUGUUUAUUUUUCUUCAAUAAUUAUGUUUCCCCACUAAUUUUCUAUCUACUUGGUGCGUUCUUGAGGUGAAAUUUGGGGGUUUGAGGCGAGGGAUUUGGGGAGUGAAUUUUGGGGAUUUGAAUGACCAUUUGGUGUCGGAUUUUGGUAAAUUUGGUAUGGUUAGACUUGGGAGUGAAUGGGCUUUCGGAUUUUGUGACUUUUGUCGGAUUUCAAGAUGUGUGCCCGGGGACCAGGUUUUAGCCGAUUUCGGAUUUUUGUUAUAAUUUUGUAUUUUUCUUGUGGAAUUGAUUCCUUUAGCCCGUAUUGAUUGUAAUGUACAGUUUGUGGCUAGAUUCGGGAUUUUUGGAGGCCGACUUGCGAGGCAAAAGAAGUAUUGGAGUAGAGUCUUGGCUCAGAUUGAGGUAAGUAACAGUUUUAAAUAUGGUUCUGAGGGUAUGAAACCCCAAAUUUAUGCGUUAUGUGAUUGUUUUGGAGGUGACACACAUGCUAGGUGACGGGCGUGUGGACGUGCACCGUGAGAAUUGUGACUUGGUCCAUUCCGUGAGACUGAAAAGUUGAAUAAACUUGUUGUUAGCUAUAUGAUCUCCGUGUGUUAUAGAAAUUUGACCGUAAAUCAUGUUAGAAAUCAUGUUUAGGUUAUGUGUUGGUAUUAUAGGGGCCCACAUAGGCCGUGAUACCUGUUGAAUUACUUGCUAAUUGCUAUUUGUACUCAGUUGUAGUCUUAUAUGCAUAUUUUACCUCAGUCUCUGCUAUUCCUUGUUGAUACGUUAUAUCAUUUCUAUUUUGGGCUAAUUUCCAUGAUUACUGAGAGCCCGUGAGACUAGAGAGGUUGAUGACUGAGUGAGGCUGAGGGCCUGAUAGUGAGAUAUUGAUACCAUAACACGUGAGUUGUUCGUGGAUCCAGAUAUUUAUACUGUAUCACUUGAGUUGCACGUGCGGAUCCUGAUAUGAUACUAUAGCACGUGAGUUGUCUGUGUAGAUCCUGAUAUGAUAUUAUAUCACGUGAGUUGUCCGUGCAGAUUAUAGCGCUUGGGCUGUAGGAGCCCCUACAGAGUCUGUACACCCCCAGUGAGUGCAGGUACCUAUUGAGUGUGAGUGUUGAGAGCUAAGAGCCGAGUGAUUGAGCUAUUGAGAAAGAUUGAGUGACUGUUGCCCUGAGAGACUGUACUUGCUUUCAUUGUUGUUGUACUUAGCUUCUAUAUGUCACUGUUUGAAACUCCUGAGAGAUUUUAUAUCCAAUUUUUACUUGAACUUGACAAUGUAUAAACUGAUUUGACUUAAAUUGCCGGAUUUGAAAGCAUGUCUACUUUCUUGUUGAGAUUGUUGAAAAUGAACUAUAACUAUGUAGCUCGUUAUUAUCUUUGAGUUCCUUAUUUAUUAUUGUUACUUACUGAGUUGGUUAUACUCACACUACACCAUGUACUUCGUGUGCAGAUCCAGGUAUUUUCGAACACGAUGGGCGUUGAUAUCGUGCACGGUUGAUCUACGGAGAUUUACGUGAUAGCUGCCCGACGUCCGCAGUCCUUGUUUCUUCUUCCUUAUAUUUCUUUAUUUGUACUUUGAUACAGACUCUCAUAGACAUUUCUUUCUAGACUGGUUGUAUAGAUUCUCAUGAGCUCAGUGACACCCUGAUUUGAGAGUUAUGUUUCCGCACUUGUGUUUGGGUUGUUACCCUGUUUUUUGUUAUGAAAACUCUGGAUAUUCAAAAAUUCUUAAUUUAUUAUCUGUUAAAUGUUGGAAGUAUUUUGGAAAUGUCGGCUUGCCUAGUACCAUGAUAGGCGCCAUCACGAUGGAUUAGAAUUUGGGUCGUGACAAACAGACUCAACAAACCUAAGGACUUAAGAUAUCUUCAAUCUCUGGAUCUGGUCCUUGGGGUUGUAGCAGCUUUGUUCUUGAAAGAGGUGGUAGCUAACACUUGAGAGAGAAAAAUCAAUUUUAGGUUUUGCAAGUGUUAUAAAAUAAAAUCCCUUGCCUCAUAUUGGUAAUAUGUAUGUGUGAGGUUAUCAAGGAUGAUGCAAUAAAGUGUCCUUAGUUUGGCCUUAGCAAGCAACAGAUGUGCUGCUGUACUAUUGCCAGACGGUACAGUGCAGUAGCUUUUACAACUGCCGAGUUGACUGCAUGGCAACCAGGGGAACUAAUCCCUAUAUGUUUCCUCUACUGUUCCCUUAUCUGAUUUCAUUGAGAAUUGAACCAAAUAUCUGACUAGUUAUUCUGAACGCAAGGGAACUAAUAGUAUCAUGUUCCUUAUCUGGUUCUCUCAUGGAGUUUGUCAAAUUAUCAAAACAAAAGAUGCAUAACUUAUUCUUUUCUGAUGGUGACAAACUUAGAAUUGAUAUUCCCCCUGAGAACAAGAUCUCCACAUUGUUUCCCCUAUGAAUCAACCAUAUUCCCCCGAGAACCUUUUUUAUCCCUUUCAAUUUUCAUUGUGCGACGACCAAGGGAACUGAUACCUAUCUGGUUUCUCGAGAACGUUUGGCAAUUCAUUAAAACACGAAAUAGCAUAACUUAUCAAUUUCUCCCUUUUGAAUAAUGACAAACCCAAAAUUGAUAUUCCCCUUUAGAACCAGAUUCCUUACAUGUACUGAUCAUAUCUAGUCCCUAUCUGGUUCCUCGAGAAAUGUUUGGCAAAUCAUCAAGAUACGAAAUAGCAUAACUUAUUAAUUUUUUCCUUUUUGAUGAUGACAAACCCAAAAUUGAUAUUCCCCCUGAGAACCAGAUUCCUUACAUAUUUCCCGUACGGAUCAGACCUAUAAUCGACAUGUUAACAAUAAUGUUCCCCCUGAGAAGUAGGCCUAUCUUUCAUGCACAAUACAUCAUAUCAAUUCAAUUCUGUUCCUCCCCUUGUUGACACCUAUGUAACUUUCCCCUUUUGGCAUUAUUGAAAAAAAAUUAGACAAGUAAAUGCAAAAAGAAGUCCAACAAAGUUAAUGCAUGUCACUUGUGUGCACACAACAUUGCUAAAAAUAGAACACAAGAGUAUAACAUACGUUAAUAGAUGACGAUGCUCAUUAAGUUACAAAAAGAAGAAACAUUGUAUCAGUACCAUAAUUACCAACAUACACAAGUCAAACAAAACUAGAGUACCACAUUCGAAAGGAAAGGACAACAAAAAGACACAGUAGGAUUAAACAUGAGCUGGCAAAGAGGUAAUAUAGGGGAUACUGGAUGGAGAGGGGAAGGACUAGAAAGCAAUGGCUUUGAGGAGGCUGUCCAUGCAAGCAUCAAUAGCACUUUGAUCGUUGAUUAGCUGCUCUUUUAGGGGACACUGCUCUUUUCAGCUUUCAUACGGGCAAGAUCUUCUCCCUAGGUAUUGCUGGAACUAGGUUCCUCAUUGUUACUUGGCCUCUUUCUGAGAGGCUUCUUUUUCUCAAUAGAGUUCUUCUUCUCAACCUCUUGCUCACAACCAACUUCAGCAACCUUUGCAGAUAGAACCUUCUUUUGUUUCACAGAGACUACUUUCUUAGAUGAUUUUUUGAAAAGAGGAGCAAGUUCCUGAGUUGUCUCCUCAUUCUCAACCUCUAUAACAUCUGCCGAAGGCACAUCCUCCUUAUCAACGAGUCUACUUGUAAGCACAUGAUUUUUGCUUCACGGGAAUUACUCCAAAAGAAAAGAAAAUCAAAAAUAUAUGCAUAAGUGUUUCUUGUCAUUGGUUGAUUUUUAUUAAAUGUUAAUCUGUGGGUGUAUAAUUUUACUUUGUUUUAUUUAGGAGUUUUGUGUUUAAAUUAAAAUAAAAAAAAAAGCAAAAGAAAAUGAGGAUACUCGGAUUGGGCCAAAAGUUAAAACAAUAGGCCCAAACCAUGUCCACCAUCCGGUCCAAACCAGGCCUGCCCAGGCACGUCCCGAAAACGACGCCGUAUAAGGCGUCUAAUCUGAGCCAUCCGUCCAGGCCAAUCCAACGGCCCAGGAUUCCUUUUCAGUAACCCAUUUCCAAACCCGACCCGGUAACCAGUUCGAACCGACCCCCCAACCAAGGCCAAACGGUGUCGUUCCGUAUUAAGUGAAAGAUCCUGGCCAUCAAUCUCGAUUCAUCCAACGGCCAGAAUCUAAUUACCUGUUACAUAUAUAAGCCUAACCCUUUACCUAGCCUCAACUAUUUCCCCAAUUUUGAUUGCUUCCGAGAAGGAUUUGCCAACUGCGGACAUCAUGUUUUGAAAAUAAUCUAGCUCUUGUUCCUGAAUGACAGUGAUUAGCUCGUGGUCAUCGAUAGGUGGCUUAACUCUAGCCGCUUGCUCUCUCUAUUUAAUGGCAUAUUCCCUGAAACUUUCAGUUAGUUUCUUCUUCAAGUUUAAAAGGAAAUUGCUAUCUGGGGCGAUGUCGAUGUUGUAUUGGAACUGUUUAACAAAGGCCUGGGCCAUGUCAUCCCAGACAUGCCAGAAAGAUGUGUCUUCAUCCAUAAACUAUUCGGAGGCUACUCCCAUAAGGCUUUCCCCAAAAUAGGCCAUUAGUAAUUCUUCCUUUCCUCCCGCACCUCUUAGUUGAUUGCAAUACCUUUUCAGGUGGGCUAUGGGAUAUCCAUGUCCAUCAUACUUUUCAAAUUUGGGAAUCUUGAAACCAAGUGGCAAACGAACAUCGUGGAACAUACAUAGAUCUUUGAAGGCAAUACUCUUUUGACCUGCCAACCCUUGCAUGUUUUUCAACAGUUGUUCUAAGUUUUUCAUUCUUUGGGUUAUUUCUUCCUGUUCCAUCUUUCGAGCAGGUUUCUCAAUCUUUGCAAGAAGAUCAAAUAGGUACGAGUGUUACUCAGGAGAGUGGUACUGUUCUUGCUGGGUAGCAAAUUGUGACUCUUGAGUUUUCCUCUGCACCACCGUCGACUGUGGGAUAGUGAAGACGGGCAUAACAAUAGUGGUUUUCUUAUUGGUUGUCGAUGGCACACUUUGGAAGCGCGCAACAAAAGUUCCAACUGUGACCGUACAGUUGGGAUAAAUACUGAACCUAGGUGGAUAGGAUUGAUCAGACAAUGAGACCUGAGUGGUAGUAGUCGAGAUGGGUGUGAACUCUGGGAAANNNNNNNNNNNNNNNNNNNNNNNNNNNNNNNNNNNNNNNNNNNNNNNNNNNNNNNNNNNNNNNNNNNNNNNNNNNNNNNNNNNNNNNNNNNNNNNNNNNNNNNNNNNNNNNNNNNNNNNNNNNNNNNNNNNNNNNNNNNNNNNNNNNNNNNNNNNNNNNNNNNNNNNNNNNNNNNNNNNNNNNNNNNNNNNNNNNNNNNNNNNNNNNNNNNNNNNNNNNNNNNNNNNNNNNNNNNNNNNNNNNNNNUAACAUGACUUCGAUGUCAGUUGUCAAUGGAAUUUUCCCCUUAGAUCUUGUGUUUCCAACUUACCACAAACCGGCCACCUCAAACUUUCUUUACAAUUCAAAACAAGAGACACGUUAGAAUGGACUCAGUCAAUUAUUAUCAAGGUUUUUUUCCUUUUUUUAGUCGAUCGAACCUGAUGUGGGUUGCCUACAUAUCAUGUGAAAACAUGAAUCAGAUCUUUGCGUAGUUUGGGAAGAUCAGGAAUAAAAUAAAUAAACUAACUCUUUUUUUGGAUUUUGAAUUUUUCUUUUUUUAUUAUUUUUAAUUUCCGAGAGAAAGACUUAUAAAGAAGAAAGAAAAUAUUUUUGGAUUUCAAUUUGUUUGUUUUUUUUAGAAUUUUUGAAAAUAAAGACUUCUAAAGAAGAAAGAAAAUAUUUUUUUUGAAUUACGGUUUUUUUUCGUUUGGAAUUUCGAAAGAAGAAAGAAUUUUUUUUUGAUUUUCGAACUUUUAUUUUGAAUUUAUGAAAGAAAGAAUUCUAAAGAAAAAAGAAAGUAUUUUUGUAUCUUUACUUUUCUUUUUAAUUUUCGAAAGAAAAACUUCUGAAGAAGAAUAAUAUUUUUGGAUUUUGAGAAGAAAUUAAAAGAAUUUUUUUUUUUAGAUUUUUAAAAAAAAAUUGGAGUCUCAAAAAAGAAUUUUCUAAAGAAGGAAGUAAAGGAAAAUACUUUUGGAUUUUUUUUUGAAAAUUGUGGGCCAGAGCCGAUGAGGUUUGCCUACGUAUCUCACAUCCGGUGAGAAUCAGACUUGCGUAGUUCGGUCAGUUUUGACAUAAUCGGAAAAUCACGAUAUUGACUCAUUUUGAAAUGACUCUUUUUUUAGAAAUUCAUUUUUCAUUUUUUUUCUUUUCAAAAAUUUUGACAGAGUUUCGGGAUAUUUUUCAAAUAUUGGGGUUUUCAGAACCUGGCAAAUUUUCUCUCCUACCUCACUCUUGGUUUUUCUCUUGAUUUUAUUCCUUAGCCAAUAAACAAGCAAGCCGAAGCAAAUAAAUGCAUAAAUAGCACGUAAGAAGCAUCAGAAUGGGCUUUUGUUUUGGGUAAACCUGUCCUAGACGGACCCAACCCCUAUAUUGAGUCCCCAAAGUCAAAUGCACGUGAUGCAAACAGACGUUCCUACUAGGGAUCCAACAUGAGGCUAUGUUAUUUUAGGUUUAAACCUAGGGGUGUGUUCUAGACAUGGCUUACCCAAGCGGACAGCUUGAGCCGAGGCGGGGGCAAUGAACCGGGAACACGAAAGUCUACCCAACCUAGUUGCUGAUCCAGCCUCGUUAUAUUUGGUACGACCUCUAACAAAAAAGUAGGCCAUGCAUAUGUGUGCACCAUAUUUUAGAAGAUUCAGAAGGGAGGCGUAAGAGGGCAGUUUAUACAGUUCAAAUAAUAAUAAAGCGGUAAAUGAGCAGCAAUUAGCACAUUAGUCCCACAAACACAGUAAUAUCAAUAAUAAAGAAAGUCAAGUAUAUAUCACAUUACAAGCUCGAAUUUUGAACCCUGAACCAGAGAUUCUGGGUUCGUUCCCCAGCAGAGUCGCCAGAGCUGUCAUAUCUUUUUUCCCCGAGGAAUAGAGAGUUUUUCCAAUUAAAGUGACAUUAAUCAAAAUAGAAUUAUUUAUUAGAUUCAGAGUCGCCACUUGGGAUAAUUAUAUGGUGUCCCAAGUCACCGAUUUAUUUUAAAUCCCAUACAGAGGAAAUUUGACUCUGUUUUAAAGUCCACAAAACCAGAAGACCGGGUAAGGAAUUUUAUUAACCCGGAAGAAGGUGUAAGGAACUCCUUGAUUCCGUAGUUUUAGCAUGGUCUCUUUACAAUCAUAUACCUAGCUUAAUUAACGGAUUAUUACGUGUUUAUGAACCUAUGUGCGUUUUACCUUCUACCGCUUUUAAUUGCUUGAUUAUUCGUUAUUAUGGAAUCAUCUUGGAACGAGUUACGCGUACAUGUACUCUUUUUGUUUAGUGUAUCCAGAAUCAUAUCACGCGUACGUGUACACAAUUAAUAACACUUUAUUAUUAUUAAGAUGGUUUGGCCAAAGUCGCGCAAAUGCAUGCUUUGUCUUUAAUUUAGAAAAAUCAUAACUACGUCACUCAAACAUGUACAUAAUCAUGAUAAUUGAUUUAUUAAUACGUCCCUAAAGCAAACUACGAUAUUUAAAAGUGACUAUUCAUUAUGGAUAAUAAGUAUUAUAGAGUUAUUAACAUUAUCCUUUUUUGUCUGUCACAGUCCAAAUGACCUAACCUAUUAUGGCUCUUCUUUAUUAUACUAUCGUUGCCCAUUCCAAAACUAUUUUGUCUCAGAGUCUUAUUGAAGCUAAGGGCAUAUGAUACAAUAAAAAGAUCAAAAUGAGAAAAUAUUCACAAGAAAGCUAAGAAAAGAAACUAGUACAACAAUUAAUAAAAAAGAUACUAUCCAAGAUAUAUUUACUAUUUAAAAUAAUUGAAAAUGAAAUGGAUCUUUCAUAGCUUUAUAUAUGAUAGAAAUAAACAACCAACAUUCUGAGGCAUUUAAUGAGCUGAAUGUAUUUCACAUUAUUUAACAAACUAACAAAGAGAAAGAAAGAGUGAUAAGAGAUCGAGAAACGGACCUCUGUGAACUCAGAAAAUAUUGAAACGAAGCUCGAUAACGAACUUCGAACAGAGACUAGAUGGAGACCUCGACAGAGUCCGACUACUCGACUAAUUCUCGCGGGACUGAAUGGGUUUUAAAUAUCUAGUUUCGAUACUGUUUGGCGUCAAUUUUGACUGAUUUUUGUCGAGUUUUUGAGGUGUUUGGCAGCUCCCUAUGACAACCUGGAUUUUGGGGAUUUUUAGGGCUAUUUUGAAGGGAGGAAAACUUUGGAUGGUGUUGAGGCUGCUGAUUUGGUAGUGAUGAUGGGGAAAUUUUAGUUAGGUUUUUAGUGGUUAAAGGUUAGAUGGGGUUGGGUAGAGGCUGACUUCAGGUUGUCAUAGGGAGCUGCCGUUCUUCUUCAUUGAGAAAGAAGAUGGAGAUCCUCCAUUUUUGGAGGUCCAGUCAGUUUUUCCAGUGUGUUUUGUCUCUGUUUUUCCUCUGUAUUUGUGUUUUUUUUAAGUUGAGAAAGAAAAUAUCAAAAUCAAAAAGGGGGUUGGGCGUUCUUGGUUUCUUUUUGUUUGUUCCCUUUCUUUGUGCUCUGUUUUCUCUCCAAAAUUCCCCCGUCCGUCUCCUUUUCUUUUGCGUGUGUGUGUUUUAUAUGGGUGAGGAUGGUGAAUCGAAAGAAUAUUUUGUGAGUGGGACAGGG
rnacentral:lncRNA from 1 species